rnacentral:rRNA from 1 species
AUUGAACGCUGGCGGCAGGCCUAACACAUGCAAGUCGAACGAGUGGCGGACGGGUGAGUACUGUCUGGGAAACUGCCUGAUGGAGGGGGAUAACUACUGGAAACGGUAGCUAAUACCGCAUACCAUCGGAUGUGCCCAGAUGGGAGUAGCUAGUCGGUGGGGUAAAGGCUCACCUAGGCGACGAUCCCUAGCUGGUCUGCGAGGAUGACCAGCCACACUGGAACUGUGGUACGGUCCAGACGCCUACGGGAGGCAGAAGUUGGGAAUAUUGAACAAUGGGCGCAAGCCGGAUGCAGCCAUGCCGCGUGUAUGAAGAAGGCCUUCGGGUUGUAAAGUACUUUCAGCGGGGAGGCGUUACCCGCAGAAGAAGCACCGGCUAACUCCGUGCCAGCCGCCGCGGUAAUUC